rnacentral:rRNA from 1 species
CCUAGUAGUCAUACGCUCGUCUCAAGAUUAAGCCAUGCAUGUGUAAGUAUAAAUAGUUAACUUUGAAACUGCGAAUGGCUCAUUAUAUCAGUUAUAGUUUAUUUGAUGAAGAAUACUAAUUGGAUAACCGUAGUAAUUCUAGAGCUAAUACAUGCAUAAAGUCUUGUAGACUGCAUUUAUUAGAAUGAAAACCAUAGGUUUCGGCCUAUUCGUGAAUAAUAAUAACUAAUCAUAUCGUAUGCUUAUGUAACGAUGUGUCUUUCAAGUUUCUGCCCUAUCAGCUUUCGAUGGUAGUGUAUUGGACUACCAUGGCAGUAACGGGUAACGAAGAA